rnacentral:lncRNA from 1 species
UUUUUUUUUGUUUUUGAUCUUGUGUUUUUUUUUUUUAACUUUUUUUUCCUCCUGACUGAGCCACCAGUGUUUAUCUCGGGAGAGUUUGUGCUGAGCUGGUGUCUGCUAACUUAGUAAUGAAGCCUAUCCAGGUUGAUGAUAGCUUAUUAUUUUCAUAAGUAAAAAAACAAACAAAUGAGAUUAUAUAUAUAUAUAUAUAUAAAUAUAUAUUAAAAAAAAAGUCACAGUAUUUAUCGUAGCACUAGUGGUCCAGCACCUCUUGGGUGAGGCUGUCCAGACACCAUGUGUUUUUAUUUGAGUCCAACUCAUUAAAAAAGAAUCAUCUCUUGUCACUUCAAUCAAGUGAUUUGUUUAUUUUAGGCUCCCCUUUUGUUGAGCCUCAGGUUCAGCUGCUGCCCAGGAAAUAUGGGUUUUGGGGAAGGCUGUUUGGUGGGCAAGGUCAGACUAAGCUGUUUUGCAGCAUCCCAAGAGGUGUGGGUCUCUAGGCCCCCUAUAGGUAAACAAAAGAACUGCAGGUUCAGGGAUUCAGGGAAGUGAGGUGGGCCAGGGGCACACAGCAAAGCAAGGGAACACAGGGUCCGUAGCCAGCAUGCUGUCUACCACUCUACCCUGCCUCUCACUGCCUGCCUUGCCCCUCUCUCCCAUCUCAAUGCCUGCCUUCCCUUGUUAAGAUGGCCAAAUAAUUCAUUACUCUCAGUUGAUUGCCUGGAAACUACCUGCCUUCAUCCCAAGAGCUGCUGUGUGCCAGGCUGCCAAGAGGAAGCCAUUCCCAAGACAGAGGCCCUUAAGGACAGGGCUCUUUUCUUCCUGCCAGAGUCUUCACCAUCACUGCCCAACCCUGAUGGGAUUGAUGCUUUCUGUGGAGAAGUUGGUACCUCAUGGAGACUGAUUCUUGGAUCACUGGUCCCAGAGUGGAUGGAACCCUUGACUUCCUGAUCCGGAUUUCCCUACAGCUUAAGGAAGGCUGCUCCCUACAGCGUGGCCCCAGCGACUCUUAGGAAGGGGGGACUCCAUGGGCCUUACAUAUGUCCCACCAGCUGUUUCACAGGAUCCUCACAGCUGGCGGGACAACAGCAACAACAAAACCCACUAUCCCAGGGCUGAGAUGCUGCCAGGACAUGAGUAGGCCAUCUGUGGAGGGGACUGUCUACCAAGGAAGAGGAGGGUCUAUACAGAGGACACCUAGGAGGGCCAGGAUUUUACCUGCUUCACAGGGUGAGUGAAAAGCCUAGGCAACCUCUGCAAAGAUUAGGGUCAACUGUGGCAAAGCCACAAGUGAGUUUCCAGUCUCCAAGUGCAUCUGGGCAGGGGAAGCUUUUGUUCUGCUGGUGGACACAGAAAUCAAUGGCAGAGCUCGAGAUGUUCUGUGCCCACCAGUCCUCACAAGGCCCACAGCUGGACAAAAUUGAAUUAGACCAUCUGUCAGUGAGGAAGUAGGGCCUUGACUGAGAUCCUCCAAAAUUUUGCUUUAGGGUCUAAUCCUACAGGCUACUAUGUUUUCCUGGUUCCUGUCAGGGCCUUAGUUUACAGCUCCUCAGGAGGUCUUGUCCUAUGUAAAGGAAAUUUCAUCCUGUCCAAGGCUGGGACACCCAAGCUCCAAGCUCAGGUUGGAAAUAUCAGGCUGUUAACAAUGGAUGGGCCUUACAUUUGGAAAUGAAAACCAGAGGCAUUUGCAGAGCAGUGGAACUUAGAGAACCUCUCCACCAGUCCUCUCCUUUUACAGUGAAAGAAACAGGUCCAGGAAAUUAAGUGAUUUGACCAAAGCCACACAGCAAAUAGUGGCAGAACCAGGACUAACUACUCCUGUGGGUUAGACAAGUCCUGUCGUGACCUAAAGCAAAAUGGCAAAUGAGCUUUGUAAGGGGUUAGGUUGGCGUGAGUUCAGCAGUGCCUGAGCAGCUGGCACCUUUCGUGGUGUGACGGGUAGGGAUGGGUGCUGAGACGUGGAUUGCGGAGUGGCUGAGAGGGCCUUGGACGGCUUGGGACUGCUGUGUGCUGCACGGGAUUGUAUGUCCACCUGGCUCACACUCAGUACCCAUGGCCACCUCCCCAUUUAAUUCUGUGCCUUAUCUCACUGUUUCAGCUGAGUCCAAGUUGUUUACUCUGUUCCUCUCCAGAGAGGCUUUCUGUCCUAGUUGGACAGCUCACUUUGGGGACAUAAGCCUUUGUUCCACAAGCUGUGGGGAGGGCCAAAAUCAAGCUGCUGGAGCCAGUAAUUAGUCCAGUCCUGCUGCCAGAGGAGACCUGUAUGCACCCCCAAUUCCACUAGCCCAUUUCCAGGAAUCUGGAGUGAGGAGCAGUUCCUGGAAGCAACUUAGCAAAGAGCUGGACCUGACCCUGGUGUGCAAAAGGAGGACCUGGCCGGGUUGGGUUUGUCCAGUCCUGAGGUAGCAGCAUUUCCUAGCUCACUUUCCCUAGGAGGCACAGAUGGCAGCUCCUUGCAGAGCAAGGGCCAAGUUGGCGGAUGACUCAGAGUCCCUCUCCCCCAAUCCCUUCCUCUGAGGGUCUGUGGCUAGGUGCAGACUGGGUGCAGAACAUCACAAACUAAAGAAGUAAGGACUGCCUGGCUACCCAGCACCUUCCCAGUCCUUAAGCACAAAGAUGAGGCAGAGGACUGUUGGGGCUGAACGUUCCUUUGGUUGCUCACAACUCAGGUAUGCAUGUCAUUCGGCAGCUGGACAGCAAAGCCCUACUUCACCACCAAUCACAGGCAUUUGGACCUGUGGCCAGAUGGUGGCUUCUGGCUGUCCCAGUGCCCACCUCUUUGCAUCGGUUCCCUCCAUUAUCAACUACAGCUGAAACUGGCAUCCUCCACAGUGUGCACACUGGCUCUGCCUUUGUCCUUGCAAGUUGAUAUUCGGCAUUAGCAUGAAACUUGUGGUGUGAGAGGGUUGACAGAAUUCCAACACAAACAUCCUAGUAAAUUGUACUUGAGAUGAAAAGAUUCCUGUUGUAUUUUGACAGAAUUAUUUUUAUUAAAAUACACAUCCAUGAGC